GAUGAACGCUGGCGGUCUGCUUAACACAUGCAAGUCGAACGGAAUCCUUCGGGAUUUAGUGGCGGACGGGUGAGUAACACGUGAGAAUCUGCACUCAGGAUGGGGACAACAGCGGGAAACUGCUGCUAAUACCCAAUGUGCCGAAAGGUAAAAGAUUUAUCGCCUGAGAAUGAGCUCGCGGCCGAUUAGUUAGUUGGUGGGGUAAUGGCCUACCAAGACGGCGAUCGGUAGCUGGUCUGAGAGGAUGAGCAGCCACACUGGGACUGAGACACGGCCCAGACUCCUACGGGAGGCAGCAGUGGGGAAUUUUCCGCAAUGGGCGCAAGCCUGACGGAGCAAGACCGCGUGGGGGAGGAAGGCUCUUGGGUUGUAAACCCCUUUUCUCAGGGAAGAAGUUCUGACGGUACCUGAGGAAUCAGCCUCGGCUAACUCCGUGCCAGCCGCCGCAGUAAUAC
rnacentral:rRNA from 1 species